rnacentral:rRNA from 1 species
GACGAACGCUGGCGGCGUGCUUAACACAUGCAAGUCGAACGGAAAGGCCCUGCUUGCAGGGUACUCGAGUGGCGAACGGGUGAGUAACACGUGGGUGAUCUGCCCUGCACUUCGGGAUAAGCCUGGGAAACUGGGUCUAAUACCGGAUAGGAGCCAUUUUUAGUGUGAUGGUUGGAAAGUUUUUUCGGUGUAGGAUGAGCUCGCGGCCUAUCAGCUUGUUGGUGGGGGAAUGGCCUACCAAGGCGGCGACGGGUAGCCGGCCUGAGAGGGUGGACGGCCACAUUGGGACUGAGAUACGGCCCAGACUCCUACGGGAGGCAGCAGUGGGGAAUAUUGCACAAUGGGCGCAAGCCUGAUGCAGCGACGCCGCGUGGGGGAGGACGGCCUUCGGGUUGUAAACUCCUUUCGCUAGGGACGAAGCUUUUUGUGACGGUACCUAGAUAAGAAGCACCGGCUAACUACGUG